CGUAACAAGUUAGAAACAGCAUCUUACCUAAUUCUUUGACUGCAACAGUUUCUUCUUUCAUUCCUUAUUUAAACACGUUUUUUUUUACCUAAAAUCAUUCCUCUGUUAAACAAAACACUAGCCGUCAUCUAGUUGGCCAAAACUCUCUGAUAUCCUAUCCAAAUUCAUAGUUCAUCGCUGGAAAAAAAAUCGCACCGAAUCAAGUUCCGUUUGUUUGCUGUUAUAGUUAACUCAGUCCUCUUCGAUCUCUAUGCUUCAGAAUUAAAAUUGCUGCUCGUACUUCUGAGUCCACUCAGGGUCACAUUGCCUCCUCGGAUUAUCACGUGAAUUGCAAGCUGUGAGUUUGUAUUAUCGUUUACCGCUUUAUUAAGUAAAAUAUAUUAUUUUUACAUAUUGUAAAUGCAGCUUUAAAAGAGUUUUUAACUUGUUAUGGAUCUGGAUCGAAACGAGCUACUUGAUUAGCAUCAUCGAGACUGUGUGCACCGGUAAUAUAUAUUUGACGGAUUAUUAUAUGGCCUACUUUGGUUAUCGGCGGAGUUAUAUCUUUUUCCUACUUUGGUUUCGACGAGAAUGUAUUCUCGUCUUUUUAUUAUUGAUUCAAUACUUAGUAUGAACUCCUCUAAGGAAACUGACCCCCGUUGUUUAACUAUUUUUUAGGUUUACAGUUUUAAGCGAGUUGUGAACCUCCUUUUGUUUGAUUCUCGAAGGUUUAUUUUUAUUGAAUAAAAGAGUCGAACUUUACUUAAA